rnacentral:lncRNA from 1 species
AUAAAUACUUGCAAUUUAUAUUUAUCCACACUAUAUGUUAUAUUACCCACACUCUACAAGUCUUUAUGCUCAACUUCUAAUGUUCCAAGUGAUUCAUCAUUCUGUCCACAUUUCUUUCAAGUUAUUACCUUUAUUAUCAAAUUAACUCAACAAAGUGAUAAGCAUAAUUAAAUUUUGUUGAUUAGUUUAUUAGUUUAUUUAUUUUAUUUACAAAGAUCCAGUGUGCACCUUACAGAACCAAGAUCGUGGAAGUGAUAUUUAGAUAGGUUCUAAAUUCAGUAUUUCAUGUGAAGUGUAGUCACUCACUCAGGAAUGAACUCAAACUUCAGCACUUGGCUUCAAAAGAGUUCUAUCAUUGCACCAAAGAAUGGCCCUUUUCCAGUUUAAAUAUCAUCUCAUUAUUCUGUGUGGUCACCUAAUUUGAUAUAUAGGUAGGAGCAACUCCAUAAACAUUUAUUUUAUUUACAAAGAUCCAGUGUGCACCUUACAGAACCAAGAUCGUGGAAGUGAUAUUUAGAUAGGUUCUAAAUUCAGUAUUUCAUGUGAAGUGUAGUCACUCACUCAGGAAUGAACUCAAACUUCAGCACUUGGCUUCAAAAGAGUUCUAUCAUUGCACCAAAGAAUGGCCCUUUUCCAGUUUAAAUAUCAUCUCAUUAUUCUGUGUGGUCACCUAAUUUGAUAUAUAGGUAGGAGCAACUCCAUAAACAUUUA